UACGUAGGGGGCUAGCGUUGUUCGGAAUUACUGGGCGUAAAGCGCACGUAGGCGGAUUGUUAAGUUAGGGGUGAAAUCCCAGGGCUCAACCCUGGAACUGCCUUUAAUACUGGCAAUCUCGAGUCCGAGAGAGGUGAGUGGAAUUCCGAGUGUAGAGGUGAAAUUCGUAGAUAUUCGGAGGAACACCAGUGGCGAAGGCGGCUCACCGGCUCGGUACUGACGCUGAGGUGCGAAAGCGUGGGGAGCAAACAGG
rnacentral:rRNA from 1 species